rfam:Zootermopsis nevadensis contig2889, whole genome shotgun sequence.
GUUGGCUAUGGGGACAUUUACCCGACAACCCCGCUGGGGAAAGUCAUAGGAAGUGUCUGUUGCAUUUGUGGGGUCCUGGUUAUUGCGCUACCCAUUCCCAUCAUCGUAAACAAU